AAAUUGAAGAGUUUGAUCAUGGCUCAGAUUGAACGCUGGCGGCAGGCCUAACACAUGCAAGUCGAACGGUAACAGGAAGCAGCUUGCUGCUUUGCUGACGAGUGGCGGACGGGUGAGUAAUGUCUGGGAAACUGCCUGAUGGAGGGGGAUAACUACUGGAAACGGUGGCUAAUACCGCAUAACGUCGCAAGACCAAAGAGGGGGACCUUCGGGCCUCUUGCCAUCAGAUGUGCCCAGAUGGGAUUAGCUUGUUGGUGAGGUAACGGCUCACCAAGGCGACGAUCCCUAGCUGGUCUGAGAGGAUGACCAGCCACACUGGAACUGAGACACGGUCCAGACUCCUACGGGAGGCAGCAGUGG
rnacentral:rRNA from 1 species